rnacentral:rRNA from 1 species
CCUACGGGUGGCAGCAGUGGGGAAUAUUGCACAAUGGGGGAAACCCUGAUGCAGCGACGCCGCGUGAAGGAAGCAGGCUUUCGGGUUGUAACCUUCUUUUAUUGAGGACGAAACAAAUGACGGUACUCAAUGAAUAAGCCACGGCUAACUACGUGCCAGCAGCCGCGGUAAUACGUAGGGUGCGAGCGUUAAUCGGAAUUACUGGGCGUAAAGCGCUCGUAGGCGGUAUGUCAAGUCAAGGGUGAAAUCCCCGCGCUCAACGUGGGAACUGCCUUUGAAACUGGCAAACUGGAGUGUGUGAGAGGAUAGUGGAAUUCCAGGUGUAGGAGUGAAAGCCGUAGAUAUCUGGAGGAACAUCAGUGGCGAAGGCGACGAUCUGGCACAUAACUGACGCUGAGGAGCGAAAGCGUGGGUAGCAAACAGGAUUAGAUACCCUUGUAGUC